UACGGAGGGUGCGAGCGUUAAUCGGAAUUACUGGGCGUAAAGCGCACGUAGGCGGCUUGGUAUGUCGGGUGUGAAAUCCCCGGGCUCAACCUGGGAACUGCAUCCGAAACUGCCUUGCUCGAGUAUGGGAGAGGGAAGUGGAAUUUCCGGUGUAGCGGUGAAAUGCGUAGAUAUCGGAAAGGAACAUCAGUGGCGAAGGCGACUUCCUGGACCAAUACUGACGCUCAGGUGCGAAAGCGGUGGGAGCAAACAGG
rnacentral:rRNA from 1 species